rnacentral:rRNA from 1 species
UGAGGAAUAUUGGGCAAUGCCCGCAAGGGUGACCCAGCAACGCCGCGUGGAGGAUGAAUGUCGUAAGAUUGUAAACUCCUGUUAGAGGGGAAGAAUAGUACCGGUUGGACCGGUAUAUGACUGUACCCUCAGAGAAAGCCCCGGCUAACUACGUGCCAGCAGCCGCGGUAAUACGUAGGGGGCAAGCGUUGACCGGAUUUACUGGGUGUAAAGGGCGCGCAGGCGGGAUAAAAAGUCAGUGGUGAAAUCCUACAGCUUAACUGUAGGACUGCCUUUGAUACUUUUAUUCUUGAGUUCGGGAGAGAGAGACGGAAUUCCAGGUGUAGUGGUGAAAUACGUAGAUAUCUGGAAGAACACCAGUUGCGAAGGCGGUCUCUUGGUCCGACACUGACGCUGAGGCGCGAAAGCGUGGGGAGCAAACA